GUGUCCUGGGUACGGUGUCGAGAUAAUGUGUUGAUGUUCGUAGGUAGACACCCCCUCUUUCCAGCGCCAGACGUCAACCACGCUCAGAUCUUGUUGGUACGGAGAAAAUGCUUCCAGCCUGGUGGGAUGACUAACAUUAGACAAGCAGAGACACAAAAAAGGCUUUACAUUGUGAAGCAGACCAGAGUGGAAGUGGGAGACCAAUUCAGAGGCAAUUUCAGCGGCAAAUGAUGGAGACCUGGACAAGGUGGUGGCAGAUGGAGAGAAGAGGUCAACUUCAGGUUCGUGUUGGACACGGUAUCCACACCUUAGUGACGGUUUGGACAUGGGAAUUUCAUGAGUUAUUUCUGGCUUGAAUAUCUGGGUGGGUGGUGAUGCCAUUUAGUGAAACAGGAAUACUGGGAGACGAUUGGGUUUGGGUGAUACAUUUAUAAUGACAUCAGUUGGCACAGUCAUGUGACUUUCUCCAGCAAUGCUUAGCUGGCACAAGAAGGUAGUUAUAGGUUUCAUCCACAGGUGAGGGUUUGUCAGGAGUGGGCAAUAGGAGAUAGAGAGCAAGGGAGUUGAAGGCAUCUGCAAGGAAGUAGUUAGCAUAUUGUUGGACUAGGGACUCUAAGCUCACAGACAGGGAAGCCAAGGCAGGA